GGUGGUUGCUAAGGUGUUGCUAUGCGGUUGCUAAGGUGUUGCUAUGGUAUCUGGGGUGGUUGCUAAGGUGUUGCUAGGUGGUUGCUAGGGUGUUGCUAUGGUAUCUGGGGUGGUUGCUAAGGUGUUGCUAGAUGGUUGCUAAGGUGUUGCUAUGGUAUCCGGGGUGGUUGCUAAGGUGUUGCUAGGUGGUUGCUAGGCGGUUGCUAAGGUGUUGCUAUGGUAUCCGAGGUGGUUGCUAAAUGGUUACUAGGCAGUUCCUAACGUAUUCCACAUGGUUGCUAAGUGGUUGCUAGGCACUUGCUAAUGUUUUCCAGGUGGUUGCUAAGGUGUAUCUAACUGGUUGCUAGGCAGUUGCUAAUAUUUCUGAAGUGGUUGCUAAGCAGUUGCUAGGCAGUUGUUAACGUUUUCCAGGUGGUUGCUAAGGUGUUGCUAACUGGUUGCUAGGCAGUUGCUAACGUAUUCCACAUGGUUGCUAAGUGGUUGCUAGGCAGUUGCUAACAUUUUCCAGGUGGUUGCUAAGGUGUUGCUAACUGGUUGCUAGGCAGUUGCUAACAUAUUCCAGACAUAAAAAGAAAGAGAAAGCAAGACAUAGAAAAGUAGAGUGAAAGAGAAGUAGAGAGAAGAGCGAGAAAUAAAGAAAGAGUAAGAGAGAAUAGAGAAAUAGAAAAGUAGCGAGAAAGAGAAAUUGAGACGUAGAGAGAGAGAGUGAGAAAGAGAGAAAGAAAGAGUGAGAAAUAGAGAAGUAGAGAGUAAAAGAGAGAGUGAGAAAUAGAGACGUAGAGAGAGAGUGAGAAAGAGAGUGAGAAAUUCAGAAGUAGAGUGAGAAAGAGAGUGAGAAAUAGAGAAGUAGAGAGCAAAAGAGAGUGAGAAAUAGAGAAGUAGAGAGAGUGAGAAAGAGAGAGUGAGAAAUAAAGAAAUGUAAAGAGCAAAAGAGAGAGUGAGAAAUAGAGAAGUAGAGAGAAAAAGAUAUAGAGACAUAGAGCGUGAGAAAGAGAUAAGUAGAGAGCAAAAGAGAGUGAGAAAUAGAGAAGUAGAGAGCAAAAGAGAGAGUGAGAAAUAGAGACGUAGAGAGAGUGAGAAAUAGAGAAGUAGAGAGCAAAAGAGAGUGAGAAAUAGAGAAGUAGAGAGAGUGAGAAAGAGAGUGUGAGAAAUAGAGACGUAGAGAGAGAGUGAGAAAGAAAGAGUGAGAAAUAGAGAAGUAGAGAGCAAAAGAGAGUGAGAAAUAGAGAAGUAGAGAGCAAAAGAGAGUGAGAAAUAGAGACAUAGAGAGAGAGUGAGAAAGAGAGAGUGAGAAAUAGAGAAGUAGAGAGCAAAAGAGAGAGUGAGAAGUAGAGAGCAAAAGAGAGAGCGAGAAGUAGAUAAGUAGAGAGCAAAAGAGAGAGUGAGAAACAGAGAAGUAGAGAGCAAAAGAUAGAGUGAAAAGUAGAGAGAGAGUGAGAAAGAGAGAGUGAGAGAAGUAGAGAGAGAGUGAGAAAGAGAGAGUGAGAGAAGUAGAGAGAGAGUGAGAAAGAGAGAGUGGUUGCUAAGCAGUUAAUAGGUGGUUGCAAAGCGCUGGCUGGGGUGCCCGGGGUGUCCAAACUUUUGACUGAUAGCUGCUCCAUACAGCAGCUCCUCCAUACACUCACAGUACUGGAGGAGCAGGGGAGAGAAGGGGUUCCGUGCGCAGAGCUGCUCGUGUGUGAGAUGGAACUCUGGGCCCCCCAUUCAUUUCUAUGGGAAAACUUCGUACGACAAUUGUACGAAAACCGUACGUCGUAUCGCUUCGCAACCUACUAUUAAUUUAAAGAUCUUGAUAAGAUCUAUUAGCUCGCCGAAUUUGGUCUCCGUAUCUCAAAAAUUGUGACCGUCACGGACGUUCAAAAUUCUCCCCCAUUCAUUCCUAUGGGGAAAAAAUGCGUACGUUUACGAAGUUUUUACGAAAACCGUACGAUAAAUCGCUCCAAAAAGCACAAGCAACGUAAUUCACUAUAGGUCCUACGAUCCGUGAAAGUUUCGUGAUUCUACGAUAAAAGCUCUAGGAGGAGUAGCGUACAGAAAAAAAGGCGUAAGAAUAAUAAUAAUAACUAGAAAAGGAAAGUUCGAUAACGAACUUUAAGUUGGCUUGGAAAAGUACGUUAAUAACGUUGAAAAAGUUAAAAUGGUUGCUAAGAUAUUUCUGUCUAAAGCGUGUGAAGAGUGGUUGCUUUGCUGUUGACUUUCAGCUAAAUGUUAAAGUCCAAAAAGUUUUGGCUAACAUGGUGAAAAGCUAAUAAUUGUCUUAUAAAGUAAUAUAAACACUUUACUUUAUAUAUACCUAUAUAAAUUAAAGUGUUGCUAAGUGGUUGCUAGGUAGUUACUAGGCAGUUGCUAAUGUAUUCCACAUCGUUGCUUAGUGUUUGCUAAUUGGUUGCUAAGCAGAUUCUUACAUAUUCCAGGUGGUUGCUAAGCUGUUGCUAACUGGUUGCUAGGCAAUUGCUAAUGUAUUCCACAUGGUUGUUAAGUGGUUGCUAGGCAGUUUCUAAUAUUUUCCAGGUGGUUGCUAAGUGGUUGCUAACUGGUUGCUAUGCAGUUGCUAACAUAUUCCACAUGGUUUCCAAGUGGUUGCUAAGGUGUUGAUAUGGUAUCCGGGUUGGUUGCUAAGGUGUUGCUAGGUGGUUGCUAAGGUGUUGCUAUGGUAUCCAGGGUGGUUGGUAAGGUGUUGCUAGGUGGUUGCUAAGGUGUUGCUAUGGUAUCCGGGGUGUUGCCAAGGUGUUGCUAGGUGGUUGCUAGGCGGUUGCUAUGGUAUCCGGGGUGGUUGCUAAGGUGUUGCUAGGUGGUUGCUAGGCGGUUGCUAAGGUGUUGCUAUGGUAUCCGAGGUGGUUGCUAAAUGGU